rnacentral:rRNA from 1 species
GACGAACGCUGGCGGCGUGCCUAAUACAUGCAAGUCGAACGCUGAAGCUUUGUACUUGUACCCACUGGAUGAGCAGCGAACGGGUGAGUAACGCGUGGGGCAUCUGCCUUUGUUUGGUGGACAAUAUUUGAAAACGAAUGCUAAUACCGCAUAAAACCUUUAAACACAAGUUUUAAGUUUGAAAGAUGCAAUUGCAUCACUCAAAGACGAUCCCGCGUUGUAUUAGCUGGUUGGUGAGGUAAAGACUCACCAAGGCGAUGAUACAUAGCCGACCUGGGAGGGUGGUCGGCCACAUUGGGACUGAGACACGGCCCAAACUGCUACGGGAAGGAGCAGGAGGGAAUCGUCGGCAAGGGACGAAAGUCUGACCGAGCAACGCCGGGGGAGUGAAGAAGGUUGUCGGGUCGGAAAACUCUGUUGGUAGGGAAGAACGUGGGUGAGAGUGGAAAGCUGAUGAAGUGACGGUAACUACCCAGAAAGAAACGGCUAACUACGUG